GCCGGCGAGCGGCGGACGGGUGAGUAAUGCCUGGGAAAUUGCCCAGUCGAGGGGGAUAACAGUUGGAAACGAUUGCUAAUACCGCAUACGCCCUACGGGGGAAAGCAGGGGACCUUCGGGCCUUGCGCGAUUGGAUAUGCCCAGGUGGGAUUAGCUAGUUGGUGAGGUAAUGGCUCACCAAGGCGACGAUCCCUAGCUGGUCUGAGAGGAUGAUCAGCCACACUGGAACUGAGACACGGUCCAGACUCCUACGGGAGGCAGCAGUGGGGAAUAUUGCACAAUGGGGGCAACCCUGAUGCAGCCAUGCCGCGUGUGUGAAGAAGGCCUUCGGGUUGUAAAGCACUUUCAGCGAGGAGGAAAGG
rnacentral:rRNA from 1 species